rnacentral:rRNA from 1 species
GACGAACGCUGGCGGCGUGCUUAACACAUGCAAGUCGAACGGAAAGGCCCUGCUUGCUGGGUGCUCGAGUGGCGAACGGGUGAGUAACACGUGGGUGAUCUGCCCCUUACUUUGGGAUAAGCCUGGGAAACUGGGUCUAAUACUGGAUAGGACCAUGCUGCAGGAGGUGUGGUGGAAAGAUUAGUUUCGGUUAGGGGUGAGCUUGCGGCCUAUCAGCUUGUUGGUGGGGGAGUGGCCUACCAAGGCGUCGACGGGUAACCGGCCAGAGAGGGUGGAAGGCAACAUUGGGACUGAGAUACGGGGCAGACGCCUGCAGGAGGCAGCAGUGGGGAAUAGUGUGCAAUAGCCGCAAGGCUGGUGCGGCGACGGCGCGUGGGUGGUGACGGCCUUCGGGUUGGAAAGACCUUUCGGCCGUGACGAAGCCCUUGUGGUGACGGUAGUGGUAGAAGAAGCACCGGCUAACUACGUG